ACACUCCUGCGGGAGGCAGCAGUGGGGAAUAUUGCACAAUGGGCGCAAGCCUGAUGCAGCCAUGCCGCGUGUAUGAAGAAGGCCUUCGGGUUGUAAAGUACUUUCAGCGGGGAGGAAGGCGAUAAGGUUAAUAACCUUGUCGAUUGACGUUACCCGCAGAAGAAGCACCGGCUAACUCCGUGCCAGCAGCCGCGGUAAUACGGAGGGUGCAAGCGUUAAUCGGAAUUACUGGGCGUAAAGCGCACGCAGGCGGUCUGUCAAGUCGGAUGUGAAAUCCCCGGGCUCAACCUGGGAACUGCAUUCGAAACUGGCAGGCUAGAGUCUUGUAGAGGGGGGUAGAAUUCCAGGUGUAGCGGUGAAAUGCGUAGAGAUCUGGAGGAAUACCGGUGGCGAAGGCGGCCCCCUGGACAAAGACUGACGCUCAGGUGCGAAAGCGUGGGGAGCAAACAGGAUUAGAUACCCGGGUAGUCCCAUGA
rnacentral:rRNA from 1 species